rnacentral:tRNA from 1 species
UCGGGAGUGGUGUAACGGCAGCACUGAGGAUUUUGGCUCCUCCGGUCGAGGUUCGAAUCCUCGCUCCCGAG